rnacentral:rRNA from 1 species
CCUACGGGAGGCAGCAGUAGGGAAUCUUCCACAAUGGGCGAAAGCCUGAUGGAGCAACGCCGCGUGGGUGAAGAAGGUCUUCGGAUCGUAAAACCCUGUUGUUAGAGAAGAAAGUGCGUGAGAGUAACUGUUCACGUUUCGACGGUAUCUAACCAGAAAGCCACGGCUAACUACGUGCCAGCAGCCGCGGCAAUACGUAGGUGGCAAGCGUUAUCCGGAUUUAUUGGGCGUAAAGGGAACGCAGGCGGUCUUUUAAGUCUGAUGUGAAAGCCUUCGGCUUAACCGGAGUAGUGCAUUGGAAACUGGGAGACUUGAGUGCAGAAGAGGAGAGUGGAACUCCAUGUGUAGCGGUGAAAUGCGUAGAUAUAUGGAAGAACACCAGUGGCGAAAGCGGCUCUCUGGGCUGUAACUGACGCUGAGGUUCGAAAGCGUGGGUAGCAAACAGGAUUAGAUACCCGAGUAGUC